CCUUCAACCAAAGGGAGCCUUUGGAUGACUUUACUAUGAUCAGACUGAUCUAGAAAGAUUGCUAAGGUUGUGUGAUGGAGAUAGCCUAGAAGGUGACUUGAGGUAGCACAACCGUGUUAUUAUGACUUUACUACUUGUGGACUAUUUCACACUCUGAACUCACUAACCUAUUGAACUUCAUGCCGACUACAUACAUUAGGGACUACUGUCAUCCCCCUUUUGCAGAUGAGGACACUGAGACACAGAGAAGGGUGACCCCUUGUCUCAAACACAAGCAAGACCAGAACAUGGAG
rnacentral:lncRNA from 13 species